rnacentral:misc_RNA from 1 species
CAAAUUUUAGCAUGAAUAAACUAACAUAAGAUUUAGGGCACUCUCAUCUGAAAAAAGUGGAUGCAUGCAUGUGAGUUUGAAUUUGCAUGUGUGAGCUUAAGCAAUUUAAAGAUUAAAUAUUCCAGAGUCCAGACACUGCAAGCUUGCCAUAAAGCAGAACAAGAACUAACAGCAUUCAAAAUUCCCAGGAAAAAAAUUUAUAGCUACUAAUAUAUCAUUCACAUUUAAAGACAUCCCUUACUUCCUGCCAAAUUAAGUUUGGUAACUGCAAAGUUACGUGUCAUUCCCUGCAGUGCAAUAAAUUAUACAUGGCACAUCAAACUGUGGCUUCAAUCAUACAAAUAAAUGCAAGGGUACAACAACUAAGAGCUUGUCUAACCAAAGAAUAUAUAAUUAUUCUGCAGAAAGCAAAAAUUAAAUGAUGGCUAGAGAUGGAAAUGUAA